GCAGUGGUAGUUCAAUGGUAGAAUUCUUUCUUUCUAUGCAGGAGACCUGGGUUUGAUGCCUGGCCAGUGCA
rnacentral:tRNA from 1 species